AGAAUGUGAAGGAUCUUCGCGGUUCUGGGUGCCCAGAAAGGCGGCGACGCGGCGGAUGACAACAUUAGGCCGCGACGCGCUCCUGGCCAGGCGGCGGCUGUAGUGUUAGCUUUGGACGCCGCAGUAGCCGCUGCCGGUAGCAAGCCGACUGAGGGAAGGUGGGGGUCCGCCCGGGCUGGUGGACCUCGGGGCCGAAAGUUCCCGCCCCGCUCGGGGGCUGAGCCGGCAGUGCCUCCGCGGCCGCUGGGCAGCGCCCUUCGUCCAGGCUCGCGCCCCAGCUGCCGCCGACGACAGCGGCCGAGAGAAGUUGGGGUCUGACUAGACGCUUACGGGGCCUCGGACCCCGGCGCCGCGGCGACCUCGGAGGAACCGGCUCCUUGCGUCCCGCCUCCCUGGGAGCUCCGCACGGGAUUUGCAGAUUUACAGAAUGGCUGCACAUUAAUGGAAAGAGAAGCAUAAACCUAUCUUCUUUCAUUAUGGAGGGAGGUUUGGCAGAUGGAGAACCUGAUCGAACUUCGUCUGAAUCUAAACUUUAUAAUGGCUCAGAGAAGGACAGUUCAA
rnacentral:lncRNA from 1 species